CUACGGGGGGCAGCAGUGAGGAAUAUUGCACAAUGGGGGGAACCCUGAUGCAGCAACGCCGCGUGGAGGAUGACGCAUUUCGGUGUGUAAACUCCUUUUAUAUGUCAAGAAAAUGACGGUAGCAUAUGAAUAAGCACCGGCUAACUCCGUGCCAGCAGCCGCGGUAAUACGGAGGGUGCAAGCGUUACUCGGAAUCACUGGGCGUAAAGGACGCGUAGGCGGGUUGGAAAGUCAGGUGUGAAAUCCUACAGCUUAACUGUAGAACUGCACUUGAAACUUCUAAUCUAGAGUAUGGGAGGGGUAUAUGGAAUUAGUGGUGUAGGGGUAAAAUCCGUAGAUAUCACUAGGAAUACCUAAAGCGAAGGCGAUCUCCUGGAACAUUACUGACGCUAAGGCGUGAAAGCGUGGGGAGCAAACAGGAUUAGAUUCCCUGGUCGUC
rnacentral:rRNA from 1 species